GAUGAACGCUGGCGGCGUGCCUAAUACAUGCAAGUCGAGCGAACAGACGAGGAGCUUGCUCCUCUGACGUUAGCGGCGGACGGGUGAGUAACACGUGGAUAACCUACCUAUAAGACUUGGAUAACUUCGGGAAACCGGAGCUAAUACCGGAUAAUAUAUUGAACCGCAUGGUUCAAUAGUGAAAGACGGUUUUGCUGUCACUUUUAGAUGGAUCCGCGCCGCAUUAGCUAGUUGGUAAGGUAACGGCUUACCAAGGCAACGAUGCGUAGCCGACCUGAGAGGAUGAUCGGCCACACUGGAACUGAGACACGGUCCAGACUCCUACGGGAGGCAGCAGUAGGGAAUAUUCCGCAAUGGGCGAAAGCCUGACGGAGCAACGCCGCGUGAGUGAUGAAGGUCUUCGGAUCGUAAAACUCUGUUAUUAGGGAAGAACAAAUGUGUAAGUAACUAUGCACGUCUUGACGGUACCUAAUCAGAAAGCCACGGCUAACUACGUG
rnacentral:rRNA from 1 species